rnacentral:rRNA from 1 species
UGGGGAAUGUUGGACAAUGGGGGAAACCCUGAUCCAGCCAUCCCGCGUGUGCGAUGAAGGCCUUCGGGUUGUAAAGCACUUUUGGCAGGAAAGAAACGUCAUGGGUUAAUACCCCGUGAAACUGACGGGACCUGCAGAAUAAGCACCGGCUAACUACGUGCCAGCAGCCGCGGUAAUACGUAGGGUGCAAGCGUUAAUCGGAAUUACUGGGCGUAAAGCGUGCGCAGGCGGUUCGGAAAGAAAGAUGUGCAAUCCCAGAGCUCAACUUUGGCACUGCAUUUUUAACUACCUGGCUAGAGUGUGUCAGAGGGACGUGGAAUUCCGCGUGUAGCAGUGAAAUGCGUAGCUAUGCGGAGGCACACCGAUGGCGAAGGCAGCCUCCUGGGAUAACACUGACGCUCAUGCACGAAAGCGUGGGGAGCAAACAGG